rnacentral:rRNA from 1 species
UACGAGAGGUCCAAACGUUAUUCGGAAUCACUGGGCUUACAGAGUUCGUAGGCGGUUCUACAAGUGGGGUGUGAAAGCCCUCGGCUCAACCGAGGAACUGCGCUCCAGACUGUAGAACUAGAGGGAGAUAGAGGUGAGCGGAACUGAUGGUGGAGCGGUGAAAUGCGUUGAUAUCAUCAGGAACACCGGAGGCGAAGGCGGCUCACUGGGUCUCUUCUGACGCUGAGGAACGAAAGCUAGGGGAGCGAACAGG